rnacentral:SRP_RNA from 1 species
GCCGGGCGUGGUGGCUCACGCCUGUAAUCCCAGCACUUGGGAGGCCGAGGCUGGUGGAUCACCUAAGGUCAGGAGUUCGAGACCAGCCUGACCAACAUGGUGAAACCCCGUCUCUA